rnacentral:lncRNA from 1 species
GUACCUCAGUAAUAAUGUAAUCUUUAUAUAUAAAGUGUAAGUAUAUAAAAAACGUUUUCAGUGUUUUAUGAUUAUAUUUAUAGUUAACCUAAUGUGCAUUUGUUAUGAAAAGAAAAUGGAUUUUACUUACUUUUGUACGGGAUUGACCAAGUGGUCAAUCUUUUCAGGCUCAUCGGCGUAGACUAGCGACUUCACAUAUCCCCACAGAAUAUAAUCUAGCGGUGUUAAAUCGCACGAUUUUGGAGGUCAAUUCACGGGUCCGAAAUGGAAACUAUGUGGUUACUAAACGUUGCUUUCAAUAAAUGGAUUAUGGCACGAGCUGUGUGACAUGUUGCGCUCUCUUGCUGAAGCCAAAGCCCCUGCACUGAUCUUGGUUGUUCAAUUGAGGAAUUAAAAAGUCAGUAAUCAUCACCAGAAAAAGCCACUAAAGUUCUGACCAGCAUCAUUUUUGAAAAAGUAUGGACUAAUGAUUCCACCAGCCCAUAAAGCAUACCACAGUCAGUUUUCCUGGAUGUUGGUUGAUUGUCUAGCGUCAAUUCUUGCAAUGAGUUGGAUUUUGUAAGGCGACAAACCAAUAUAUUUGUACAAAAUCUUCCAUAAAGUGGAUAGACACAUAUCCAACUACUGUGCAUGAUGGCGGAUAGACUGAUUCGGGUAUUCCUCUUUGCUACGUUCUAUAGCAGCACUUGUACUUGUUUAAUUUUUAUAGCGAAGUCAUAUUUAAAGAAGCUCUGUCGGAGGUUAGUUGUGAUACGCUGACGACACAGUGAUAUUAGCAGACAAUCUUGCAGAUCUGCAACGACUGAUGGAACGCAUUAACCACUACUGCAACAGCUACGGACUUACAUUAAACCUCAGAAAAACUAAAUGGAUGGUAAUAACAAAAGAUCCACACGCCAGGAAUGAUUUGGUUGUCAAUAACACCGUUAUAGAAAGGGUAUCCUCCUAUAAAUACCUUGGAGCUUGCCUGGAUCAUACAGGCGAUCAAACAAAA